rnacentral:rRNA from 1 species
CACGUCCAAGCAGUGAGAUUGAGUGUUAGGCAAAUCCGGCACUCUUAAGAUUGAGCUGUGAUGGGGAGAGGAACUUGUUCCUCGAGUCGUUGAUUUCACACUGCCGAGAAAAGCCUCUAGCUAGAAUAACGGUGCCCGUACCGCAAACCGACACAGGUAGUCAAGAUGAGAAUUCUAAGGUGAGCGAGCGAACUCUCGUUAAGGAACUCGGCAAAAUGACCCCGUAACUUCGGGAGAAGGGGUGCUCUUUGAGGUUCACGCUUCGAAGAGCCGCAGUGAAUAGGCCCAAGCGACUGUUUAUCAAAAACACAGGUCUCUGCUAAACCGUAAGGUGACGUAUAGGGGCUGACGCCUGCCCGGUGCUGGAAGGUUAAGAGGAGUGGUUAGCGCAAGCGAAGCUACGAAUCGAAGCCCCAGUAAACGGCGGCCGUAACUAUAACGGUCCUAAGGUAGCGAAAUUCCUUGUCGGGUAAGUUCCGACCCGCACGAAAGGCGUAACGAUUUGGGCACUGUCUCAACGAGAGACUCGGUGAAAUCAUAGUACCGGUGAAGAUGCCGGUUACCCGCGACAGGACGGAAAGACCCCGUGGAGCUUUACUGUAGCCUGAUAUUGAAAUUCGGUACAGUUUGUACAGGAUAGGUAGGAGCCUUAGAAGCGUGAGCGCUAGCUUACGUGGAGGCAUUGGUGGGAUACUACCCUAAUUGUAUUGGAUUUCUAACCCGCAGCACUUAUCGUGCUGGGAGACAGUGUCAGGCGGGCAGUUUGACUGGGGCGGUCGCCUCCUAAAGAGUAACGGAGGCGCUCAAAGGUUCCCUCAGAAUGGUUGGAAAUCAUUCAUAGAGUGUAAAGGCAUAAGGGAGCUUGACUGCGAGACCUACAAGUCGAGCAGGGUCGAAAGACGGACUUAGUGAUCCGGUGGUUCCGCAUGGAAGGGCCAUCGCUCAACGGAUAAAAGCUACCCCGGGGAUAACAGGCUUAUCUCCCCCAAGAGUUCACAUCGACGGGGAGGUUUGGCACCUCGAUGUCGGCUCAUCGCAUCCUGGGGCUGUAGUCGGUCCCAAGGGUUGGGCUGUUCGCCCAUUAAAGCGGUACGCGAGCUGGGUUCAGAACGUCGUGAGACAGUUCGGUCCCUAUCCGUCGUGGGCGUAGGAAAUUUGAGAGGAGCUGUCCUUAGUACGAGAGGACCGGGAUGGACAUACCUCUGGUGUACCAGUUGUCGUGCCAACGGCAUAGCUGGGUAGCUAUGUAUGGACGGGAUAAGUGCUGAAAGCAUCUAAGCAUGAAGCCCCCCUCGAGAUGAGAUUUCCCAACUUCGGUUAUAAGAUCCCUCAAAGAUGAUGAGGUGAAUAGGUUCGAGGUGGAAGCGUAGCGAUACGUGGAGCUGACGAAUACUAAUCGAUCGAAGACUU